rnacentral:lncRNA from 1 species
AAUUUAUACAUUUUCUUUUUUUUUUAAUUAAAAAAGAUUUCGGGCCGAGCCGGGCCAUUUAACUGGCAGGCUAGGUUUGGGACGGGUUAACCGAGCCCAAAUUUAAAAAAUAACCAGCCCGGAACCCAGAACCCUAAAGACCUACGGCUUACCUGGCUGGGUCAAACCGGGUUGGUUUAUUUAAGUGGGUCGGAUAGGGCCGGGUAUGGUCACCUAUUGAUUUUACAAUUGGGAGGAGAAUGUUUUGGUGAAUAUUUGAAUGAAAAUUCAAUUGCAUAACUCUCUCUCAUCUCAUGAUCAAAAGCUGUGGUGGUCAUGAAUAUGAUAAUUUUGUUUAAAAGCUAGGGUGGUCAUGAAUAUGAUAAUUGUAGGCACCUAAUUUUGUUUUUUUCAAAACCCAAUUCAUCCAUUUUUACCUUAUGUUAUCAUUCACCCUUAUCCAUGUGAUUAUAUUUCACAAAAAUAUGAAAGAAAUUAACAACUCUUAAAACAUAUCUAACAAAUUUUAUUUUAUUUUAAUCAUCCUAACAACCUAUUCUUAUCUCACCCACUACCCUACACCCUACCCACGUGACCCCCUACCUAUUUUUUUUUCACGCGCCUCACAUAUACAUACACCAGCACAAUACACAAAAUAGGGGCCCACGGGAAUCACAAUUCUACACUCACCUACCAUAUAUACUUAAUCACAUUACACAGCGAAGGGAGAGAGCACAUACAUACUCAGCAAAAAAAGGGCCCACAGGGAAUAUUUGGGACAACUUCCAUUUUUUUCUAUAGAUCAUAAACACACUCUACACGCAGAGAGCUCCUCAUAUUCCUCCAUUGACGCAUAAGAUUCUCACACAUUAUCUCACGAAAUUCCACUCACACACACACCAUCAACAUACACACAUCAUGGAUCGACACACAGCAACACACCCAACUGAAGAAUAGAGAAAAAUAGUAAAGAAAGGAGAGAGAGAGAGGAGCAAUGGGAAAAGAGAGCUCUGAUGAGGGAUAUGAAUAGAAAAAAAUAGAGGGUUAGUAGGAUUUAGGUGAACGGAUGGAGGAAAAAGAGAGAAACAGAGAGAAAACGUGCAAAACUGAUUUUUUUGGCGAGUCUUCACCAGAAAACAUUGCUGACACCAGUUUCUUCCUUCGAUUUUUGUUGUUGUCGGGCUUGCCGGAGAUCCGGCAAAGAAAAUAGCAGUAACCCAUCCCCGCGCUGUUUCUAAAUCCACCAAAAAUGUCGGUAAACAACCCCUAAAACAUCCACAAAUCUCAUUUUUUGAUCGUUUGCUGUCUGAUUUGCUUUGUUUGAGUCGGGUGUAUCGAGUCGGGUUGAUUAGGUUAUUCCAGAUUUUUGGAUUUGUUGUGGGUUGGAUUUGAUUUUGAUCAUCGAGGUUCCUGGUGCGGACUCCGUUUAAUUGAAUAACACACUUUGAAAGCCCCAAUUUCAGGUCCAAUUCUUCAUCUCUUCUCUUUAUCUUCUCUUUAUUUUAAUGACGUGAUUUGGUGAUUAUGUGUUGGAUAAUUACAAUUGUUUGAUUUGGUUGAUGUUAUGAUUAUGUGGUAGACGAUUUGAUUACGGUGAUAUGCGGAACGAAUUGGAGUAAUUUUGAUGGUGAUUGAUAAAAGGGAGUUGGUGUGGGAAUUGAAAAAAUUGACGAAAAGGAUAGAUUCAAAUUAAUUUCAAUUUAUUGUUGAUAUGAACGUGAUAGAAUUAUAAUAUGUUGAAAUGGAUAUGCAAAUGUAGGUUGGGUAGGCAAAGAUAGGAAUCGUGUUUGGUUGAAUGGUUUGAAAUGUCUGUAGAAUAGUUUAUUUUUCUCGCAUUUUGAAAAAUGUAUGCAUUCAUCGGGGAAUGCCCUGAGGUCAUAUUGUACUUAUUCACCGGGGAAUGCCCACCGUAUUAUGUACUCAGAGGAUAUUCGUGAAGAAGGCCCGAGGCAUCGUGAUACAAGAAUUACAAGGACAACACGAAACACAUUUCAAAAUUAGUCCACAAGAUCAAAGAUUCGAGGACCCUUUUGAAGACCACACUCGGAUUCAACAAACAACAACAAGAACAUAAUGUAUUAAUGUAUUUAUCACCUAAAAAUAGCUAACAACAAACUAUGUUAACAACAACAAGAUGAAUAACAACAACAAUGGAACAAGAACAACAAGUCACUGAUUUGAAUUACAAGAACACAAACAAACAAUUACAACAUAAACAAAAUGGAUAGAUAGUUAGACCUUGGUUGGUAUAAUCUUAUGAAUCCAAGAAUAUUGUAAUAUUGGACCUUUAAGACUACACACAACGGUUAACCUAACUCCUACGUUGACACAAGAGGAACUUUACCUUCUUUAAACACUAAUGUCUCAAGCCAACAUUGCAACACAAGUGAUAUCCACAUGUUACCCUCAUUUUGGUGUGGUGGAUAUUCCAAGACCUACAACUAAAGGUGUUUGAUGUUUCAAUUCUUACAUCAAUGAACAAAUAAUGAGAAAAAGACCUAAAAUAUUCUAUUUAUAUUCUAUUACAAGACAAGGUAAAAUGACAAUAAUGCCCUUAAAGGGUGGGGUGGCCAUGGAGUGCAUUUGGACCCAAUGAAGUGACCAAAAUACCCUUAAUGAAGAUGACCAAAGCAUGACCCAUUAAGUACUGUCCAGAACUGUGAGUCCUCAAGUCUUCGAUGCUCCAAUCAAUCUUCCACACACGACCUUGCUUGUGCUCAAAACGGGUCUUCCUUGCAUAUUCUUGUGCCCUCGGGGUGACAAAGUCUUAAGCCUUUAAAUGACGACCUCCAAUCAUGUCUUCAAAAAUUAAGGUGCCCAUUUGACCUGUAUCACAUUGGGUAAGGUACUGGAGAGUAGUUUAGGAUUAGUGUACGUUAGUGUAGGUUUGCUUUUCAGUACCUUUUUCAUUUCGGGUUGUAAUAAUUGGACUGGACACUAUAUUUUUUGGCUGGUUUUAUUUUGUUUGUUUGAUUGAUUAUUUUUGUGUGGUUUAUAUAUUUUGUAGUGUCAAAUUAGCCGAUAUGUUCCACCAAGCAAUCGUGGUCGAACCACCGGAUCGAGGGGUGCCUAACACCUUCGCUUCGGUCAACAGAAUUCCUUAACAAGAAUCUCUGUUCGCGGAUCAGUUUAAAAGAGUCAAAAUCGUUUAGAAAAAGGAUUUCCAAAGGUGACUUGACACACCUGAUUUAUGCAAAGUGGCGACUCUGAGUUUUAAAUAUAAAUAAUUCUUUUUGAAACAAAUCGUCAUUUUUGUCACUUUAAUAAUAAAAUCCUUUUGAAAAACAAAAAAUUUAUCUUUUUUGGUUGAAAAAGGGGUGUGACAUCUCUAGCGACUCUGGUGGGGAAUAUUUUUAGAAUUCGAGCUUAUUUUUUGGAGUUAUAUCGGCUUAGUUUGACAUAAUGGGUGUAGAAACGUUGUUUGUGUUAUCGUUUAUGUUAUUAUUUUUGAUUUCCUAUGUGUUCUUCGUUUAUAGUUUUUCUUUUAUUUGUUACCGCUUUAUAUCUGGCAUCAUGUGCAUAAGUCGAGUCAAUUCUUUCUGCAACAAGUUUUAUAGUACACGUUAUGUACACGACCUAUAGUUGAGUCACCCUUAUUUUAGGAGGGGGAACUGUCGGCUAGUAUGGAGUAGGUGGAAAGUAAACCAACCACUAUCGACCAUACGCUUCCCCGAACAACCUUGUUAGUGAACCUCAAUGGAAGUCAGCCUUUAGGUCAUAUUUAUCUGCAUCAUAUUGAAACCUAGCGGGAUCCGCUUGGUCCUUUGUAGGAGACUCACCUUUAAAGCAUCCCUACGUGCUAACUGUUGCAUAUUUGAGGGUAAUGGGGUCAUUUGACAGACUGAUUUGGGAAGAAACAUGUGUAGGAGUAAAGUGUGUAGGCAAGAAAUUGUUGAAAAAAAAAGAAAAAAAAGAGAGUUCCGUAGUUUUUUUUUUUUUUGAGAUCUUAAUGACUUUUAUUUUUUUCACAAUCCAAAAAUUCAAAAAGAUUUUCUUACCUUUCUCACGCAUUUACUGAAAAACAAAAAAACAUCAAAAUGAUUUUUCCUUUGUCUCGUUUAGCAUGCAUUCAUAAUUCAAAAAUUGCAAAAAGAAUUUUUUUAAUAGCAGUUUUUCUAAAAGAAAAAUUCAAAAAGAUGGUAGAAGUUUUGUAUAUUUUUUAUAAUAGAAAUACAAAAAAGAUUUUGCUUUUGUAGCUGUUGGUGCCAGUUUUAUGUGAAGUGUUAAAUCAAAAACUCAAAAAGAUUUUAUUUUCAUCAUCCGUCUGUAAUCGCGUCUCUCAAGUCAAGUCUUAGUUCGUUUUAAUCCUUAAUUGUCUAAUCUGGAUGAACUACACACCCCUGAUUCUCCUCUCUCUCGAGAGUGAGAUACGUAGGUAACCUAUUGUUGGUUCGGGGAUCUUAUUUAAAAAAUCCAAAAGAUUUUCUUCACUCUUCAUUUAGAGUAGAUGUUUCCUAUGCAUCUUUAAAAGAAAACAAAAAAAAGAUUUUUUCUUAAUAGCUUCAAGUUUCAUUUUCGUAUUUAAUUCAAAAUCCAAAACCCAAAAGAAUUUUCUUUGGUAAUCAUAGGUUUCUUUUUGUAUAGGAAUCUGAAAUUUUCAAAAAGAUUUUCUUCACUCUUCUUUUAGAGUAGGAAUUUCAUUUACAUCUUCAAAAAAAAAACCUACAAAAAUAUUUCUCUUUAAUAGGUUCAAGUUUAAUUUUCGUGUGACAUUCAAAAUCGAAAAUCCAAAAAGAUUUCUCUUUGGUAAUCGUAGGUUUCAUUUUGUAUAGGCAUGUUAAAACCGAAAAAUGCAAAAAAAAAUUCUCAUCAAUUCUUUUGACAAUUUAUUAUUUUCUUUUCUUUUGAAGUUUCAAGAAAAAGAAAAAGAAUUUAAUUGGUCAUUUUGACAAGACUUCACGAACUAUGCACACCUGAUUCUCCUCUCUUGGGAGUGAGAUACUAGGCGCCCUUCUCGGAUUCGGUGAUCUUUUCAAAAGAAAAAAAGAAAAAAGAAAAAAGAAAUAAGUUAGGUUUGGAAAAAAAUGUUGAACUCUAACGCAUUUGUUACCUCUUGUUCAGUUAGUUUAGGGUGGUUGGUUUGUGGCAUCCUGGAUGGUCCUUCAUUUCACACCAAAUCCAAGGAAGGAUUAGUUAUGUCCAAUAAGAAUAUAGAGAGUGACAUCAUGGAUCAAGCAAAAAAUCUGGAAAAUAAAAGUUUAAAGGAAGAGAAUUUGAGAUUAAGGCAAUAAAUGAUGGAAAUAUAUCGAUCUUGGGUCAGUGGGUUUCCUCCUCAUCCAUUCCUUACUAUUGAUCCCGCAAAUACCGUGAGUCUUUCAUCACAAUUGAAAGCUCCAUGUCCUAAUAUUGUUGAUGCACCACGAUAUGACUCAGAAUUCAUUCCAAGCCAAAAGAAUCUCAAUAUUUCCACCACCCUUUCUCUAGAUUCUCAGCAUAAGCCUACUACAUUCACAGCACCAUAUGUCGUUUGUGAUUUUGUUGCUCAAUCCUCUGUGGAGACAUCCAUAUUGGCUAGUCGCCCAAUGAUUGUGCUUUCCCAUGCUGCUAGUGAACCCAUGUUCAAUACGCUUGGUGAUUAUUGUUAUACUCUUGAGCCUACUUUUAAGUUAACUGUGCCACCAAAAUUUCUUAACAAGAAUCCAAGUAUAUUGGAAGAGCCAAAGAAAAUUGUUGGAAAAAUAAAGAGUGCAGAAAAUGAUAUGUAAAGUUCCCUGGGACUUAUGGGCUGUAAAGAUGCUUCAUACAAAGACUGGGGCAUGUCUUCAAGUGUUAACCUUCCUCCAAUCCUUGAGAUAUCAAAAUAUGAGAAGCAAAAUAGACAUGGGGAAUCCAUGAAACAUUUGGGACAAUAUUGCAAUCAAUUAAGGGAAACUGGAGGGAAGAAGAAUGAGAAAGAUGCAACUACCAGUGUAGUUGGAGAACGGGCACAUCCAAGAAGGAGAAGUCAUCAUUACCAUUAGUCUCAAGCCCAAAUUCAUACCCAAGCUCUUUAUAAUCACUACCAAAAUCCAUUAUACUUCAUUUCCCCACCUCCAUAUCUAGUAUAUUACGCACAACCAUAUGUCCAACUCCCUUCUUACUCAUAAUGGCAUGCGCCAACUCCUUAGAGUCAUUUUCCAAUUCCACAAACAUACCAAAGCUAUUCUAAGCCCGGUUUUAGAUCCAAGCCAAACAAUCAAAUGAGGCAAAAAUUGACGGAUAGCUUUACAUGAAUUGGAGAGCCGUAUGCCAGCUUAUUUCAGAGAUUUGUACAAUGGGGCAUGAUCACUCCUCUUCUUGGGCACACUCUAAAUCCUCGUUCAAAAAAGUUUGAUCCUAAUGCAUGAUGUGCAUAUCAUUUUGAUGCUUAGGGUCAUAGUAUUGAAGAUUGUCGAGAUUUGAAAAGUUGAUUCAAGAUGGAUUAAUUAUGCUACAGAACAUUGACAGUGAGGGAAACUCUAGUCAUGCUGAUAUGCAGACCAGUGGCUAAUAUGUCAGGCUGAGCAAUUGGGAAGUCACUCCACUCCUUACCAGGAAAGAUUGUUGGUAGUUUAUUUUGUUUUCCUUUCUGUUUGCCGAAUCAUCUCAGGGUUGUAGUUCAAAAUCAACCUUGUUUUGUUUCUUUGUAACCCCUCUAUCUUUUAUUUUAACUACAUCGAAUGUCCUUUUUUUCUUUGUUCUUUAAAUAUGUGUUGUUUGUUGGUUUUCUUUACAUAGUACAUUUUAUGUUGGCUCUAGUGAUAUGACAUUCUUGCGGAAUUUUCAGUUAGAUCUUAAAAUUCAAUUUAAGCAUGAACUGUGAAAUCAGAAGGCUAAAGUUAGAAAAAGCAUUUGAGAAAAUUGAUAGAGUGUUGACGCAUUUGGUGACCAUGUUGAAGCCUUCUUUCAAAUUAAGACAAUUAUUUUGAGAAUCACAAGCAUAACUUGGUCAUCAAUUAAAAAACAUAGCUCAAUUAGGUCAAACAGUGUGUGUGUGAUUCCGAGGAACAGAACAAACAUAAACUCCACGAAAGUAUGAGUCAUUCAAUGUGAGAGAGGUACAACAAAUGAGGAGUUGUAUGUAUGACAAGUGUAGAAGAAGAGCUGACACAUAUGCUCAGUUAAAGUUAGUGUUGUUAAAGUGUCACAAAUGAUCUUCAUUUAUCAUUUCAUAUUGCAUGAUAUGUACUAGCAUUUUCAAGGAUUGAUAUAACGAAGGCUUUUCAUUCUUCUAUCUAAACGUUGUCUCAUCCUUUGUUUACCCCAUUUGAACCUUAGUUUUGUUUUCUUUCAUAUCCCUCUUUUGGAAUCAAGAUAGGCUUAGCAAAGCUCAAAAUAAAGGUGUCAAGCAAAAAAUUAGAGUUAUAAAAGUUUCCAAAAAAUCAACAACAAAAAAGAAAAAGAGAAAAAAUAUGUCCAAAAGAAAGAAAGAGGAGAGUGUCAAGAAAAAUAGAGUCAGAAAAGUCCCAAAGAGAAACAAAGUCAACAAAAGAGAAGAGAAAUCAAAAUCAAUCAAAAGAAAAAGUUGCCGGAACUACAUAUGACCUGAUUCUUCUCUCUUAGGAUUGAGAUACUAAAGUCAACAAAAGAGAAGAGAAAUCAAAAUCAAUCAAAAGAAAAAGUUACCGGAACUACAUAUGACCUGAUUCUUCUCUCUUAGGAUUGAGAUACGUAGGCUGCCCUACUCUGGAAUCGAUCCAACCAAAUGAAAAAUUUAGAAUUGCCCAGUCAAAGAAACUGGGGCAUGAGUUAAUCCUCAUUGUUUGAGUCGAUUCCAAAAGUUGUAAGUCCUACCUCACUUCAACUGUCAUUUGUGCCUCAUGCCAUCCCUUCUUUCUAACAUUAUCCAAAAGACAAGUUACAACAAAAGAAAGACCUUCAGAUCAAUCUUUGAGAAUGUUAAGGCUAAGCAUGCAAUGGAUAUAAGGACGCAUUUUGGGAAUUACUUGUCUUCCUCAGCAUAAAGAAUCAAGAGAGAAAUAAAAAUGAGAAAGUCUUGUUGGUGAAAUCCCUCACGGGCACCAUAAGAUGAUGGUAAGUUGAGAUAGAUAAAAAUGAGAGAGUCUUAUUAGUGAAAACCCUUUCGGGGACUGUAAGAUGACAAAGAUUUGAGAGAAAUAAAAAUAAGAGAGUUUCAUUGGUGAAAAACCCUCACGUACACCGUAAGGCAAUGGCGAGAUGAGAAAAAAAAUAAGAGAGGCUUGUUGGAAAGAACCCUUCAAGGCGUCACUAGCCGAAUAAGGUCUUAAAUACAAUUGAACUAGGUAAGCAAGUCAGUUCCAAGACCGUUAACUCAUCAACAACUGGUAGAAAGUAUGGAUAGAAAGAUCAGACAGAUUAAUCCAAAAUGCAUCUCAUAAUCAUUAGAGUUGACUGACAUUUUCAAAUAAGUUUUUCUUUUCACUUUUUUUCAAAUGGGGACAUUAAUUUUCUUUAUUUUUUUUAUUGAGUUAGUUAUUCAAGUAGAAAACAAAUCAUUGUCAUUUUUUCUCUUGUCUUUGAGUUAAGUCCAUGUCAAAAUAAGUGAGAAAAGAUUUCAAAACUAGAUUCCUUCUUCUUUAAUUGCACAAACCAAGAAAAAGGGCCAGCACAUGAAAGAGACAUGAUUGUGAGAUGAAACAAGGCAUUUAGAAAGUAUUCAACAAACGAGUCUAGGAAUUUGUGAAAAUACCAAGGUUUAAAGGGGAUUGUUUGAGAAACAUAGCAAACCAGAGAUAUUGUGUUUGUUUUAGAGUCACUCUUAGUAUUCUGAGUUUGGACCAAUGGUGCAACGAGGCAAUGAAAAUUACUAAUGAUUGAAAGAAAGAUCUAAAUGGGAAAAGUGCAAGAGAAAUCUCCCCCCAAAUCCAAAGCCGCAAGCCAACCACCCUGUUUUAAACUCACAAGUUUUCUUUGUAUGAAACAUGAACAGUUGUUGCCUUCAAAUUAAAGGCUUCAAAGUACAAAUAUCCAGAGGUGCAAUUCCUUGUUUCUACAAAUGCAAGAGUAGUGUUGCUGUACAGGUUUGGUAAUCAAAAUUAUGGUAAAACUCAUCAUCUUGUAUUCCUAAGAGACACAUUUUCUAAUUUGGGUCUUUCAUGUCUCAUGGCUAGGAGGUGCACUUCCUAAUUUGAGCCUUUAAUCCCAAAAGAUGCACUUAGUAAGAACCUUUCACUAGGAUUUGCUGACCUCAGUCAUUCAAUUUUACCCUUGAAAAGUGCAUUUGUUGAUCAGAACCAAGAUUCAUCUUUGCAUUAUACAUUGUGGCAAGUAUUUGUGAUUAGGUUUGAUACCCGCAAAAGCUUUUGAUGAUAAACUGGGGCAAAAGGAAGAUUUAAUUCCUACUAUUAGGAGCUUCACUUUAGGAUCCUCCUAGAUAAAUGAGACUUUAUUUUUCUAGAAAAUGAAAUCUUUCUUUAUCAUAAUCAUUGUGUGGAUAAUUUCUAUUUUAGUUUUGAUUUUGAUUUCAGGAGCCUGCCUAGAGAACAGGGUGAAAAAAUUGAAAGUCAGGAGCCCGCCUGAAGAACAGGGUGAUGAAAUAGCAGGUCAGGAGCCCUUCUAAAGAAUAGCGUGAUGAAAUGGCAAUUCAGGAGCCCGCCUGAAGAACAGGGUGAUGAAAUGGCAAGUCAGGAGCCUGCCUGAAGAAUAGGGUGAUGAAAUUGAAAUUCAGGAUCCUGCCUGAAGAAUAGGGUGAUUAAAUUGAAAGUCAGGAGUCCGCCUGAAGAACAAGGUGAUGAAAUUUAAAUUCAGGAGCCUGACUGAAGAACAGGGUGAUGAAAAUGCAAGUUAGGAUCCCACCUGAAGAAUAGGGUAAGGAAAUUACAAGUUAGGAGCCUUUCUGAAAAACAGGGUAAUGAAAUUGCAUGUCAAGAGCCCGCCUGAAGAAUAGGGUGAUAAAAUUGCAAGUCAGGAGCUCAACUGAAGAAUAGGUGAUGAAAUGGCAAGUCAGGAGCCCACCUAAAGAACAGGGUGAUGAAAUUGAAAUUCAGGAGCCCUUCUGAAGAACAGGGUAAUGAAAUUGCAAGUUAGGAGCCCACCUGAAAAAUAGGGUAAUGAAAUUGCAAGUCAGGAGCUUGCCUGAAAAAUAGGAUGAUGAAAUUGUAAGUCAGGAGACUUCCUGAAGAAUAGGGUGAUAAAAUUACAAGUAAGGAGCCUGCUUGAAGAACAGGGUGAUGAAAUGGCAAGUCAGAAUCCAACCUGAAGAACAGGGUGAUCAAAUGGAAAUUCAGAAGCCCACCUGAAGAACAGGGUGAUGAAAUUGCAAGUCAGGAGCCCACCUGAAGAACAGGGUAAUGAAAUGGCAAGACAGGAGCCCCCCUGAAGAACAGGGUUAUGAAAUGAUAAGUUAGGAGCCCGCCUUAAGAAUAGGGUGAUGCAAUUGCAAGCCAGGAUCCCUCCUUAAGAACAAGAUGAUGAAAAUUAAAAGUCAGGAUCAUGCCUGAAGAACAGGGUAAGAAAAUUAUAAGUCAAGAUCUCGCCUGGAUAACAGGGUGGAGAAGUUGAAAGUCAAGAAAUAAGGCGAAGAAAUCAAAAGUUAAAAAAUAGCAAGUCAAGAGUCUGCCUGAAGAAUAGGAUGAAGAAAUUAAAAGUCAAGCAACAAGAUGAAGCAAUUGAAAUCCAAGCAACAAGUUGAAGAAAUUCCAAGUUAGGAGCCCGCCUGAAGAAUAGGGUGAUAAACCUUAAGUCAGGAGUCCAAAAGAAGUUGUAUAGAUAGGAUUUUUGAAAUUUCAUUGUUAUAACUUGUAAUUUUCUUUUUUUUGAUGUAAUGACAGACCCGCGGACUGGAACCUUAAAAGGGCGUCACUCGACUCUCCAACUCAGUAUAUUCUCUCUCCAUCCAACCCUUUGAGAUACAUGUGACUUGAUUUCUUCAUAACUUGGGUAAGUAGGAUAUCCUAAGUCAAGACUUGGUUGCCCUUCUUCCUUCUAUUUCUUUCAUUGAAUAAUGAUUUUGUCAAAAUUUGGUCUCGUUGUCUACUUUUUUGUCUGAAAACACUUUGUAUUUAUACCCAAAAAGGGGCAUGAUGUAGAUAACUAAUUUUGUCCUUCCCAAAACCCAAUUCAUCUAUUUUUAUCUUACGUUACAUACACCCUCACCCAUAUGAUUACACCCCACAAAAUUACAAAAAAAAUUAAUAACCCUUAACAAAUCUCUAAUAAAUUUUAUCUUAUUUUAAUCAUCCCAACAACAUACCCUUAUCUCAUCCACUACCCCACACCCUACCCAUGUGACCCCCUACCUACUCUUUUAAUCACGUGCCUCACAUAUACAUACACCAACACAAUACACAAAAUAGGGGCCCUACGGGAAUCACUAUUCUACACUCACCUUCCAUAUAUACUCAAUCACACUACACAGCAAAGGGAGAGAGAACACACUCAGAAAAAAGGCCCGGCCCACAGGAAAUAUUUGGGACAACUUCUAUUUCCAAAUUGAGAACAAAAUAGAUAGAUACUCUCCAAUUUUUUUUAUAUAGAUCACAUACACACUCUACACACAGAGGGCUCCCCAUAUUUCUCCAUUAAAGCACAAGAUUCUCACACCUUCUCUAAUGGAAUUCCACUUACACACACACCAUCAACACACACACAUCACGGAAAGACACACAACAACACACCAAGCUAAAAAAUUGAGAAAAUCAGUAAAGAAUAGAGAGAGAGGGGCGAUCAAAAAACAGAGCACCAAUAAGGGAUGAGAAUAUAAAAAUAGAGGGUUAGUCGUGUUUAGACGAACGGAGGGAGGAAAAAGAGAAACAGAGAGAAAACAUGCAAACUAGAUUUUUCUGGUGAGUCUUUGCCAGAAAACUUCACUGCUGCCAAUUUUUUCAUUUGAUUUUUUUUGUUGUUGAGGUUUUUGGAGCUCCGGCAAAGUAAAUAGCAGUAACCCGUCCCUGAGUCAUUUCAAAAUCCAUCAAAAACGUCAGUAAACGACCCUAAAAACAUCUACAGAUCUCAUUUUUGAUCAUUUGCUAUCUGAUUUAUUUGUUUCAGUCGGGUGUAUCGAGUUGGAUCAAUUUGGUUAGUCCAGAUUCUUGGAUUUGUUUUGGGUUGGAUUUGAGUUUGAUCAUCGAGGUUCCCAAUGCGGAAUCUGUUUAAUUGAAUAACAUACUUUGAAAGCCCCAAUUUCAGGUCUAAUUCUUUAUCCCUUCUCUUUAUUUUGAUGAUGUGAUUUGGUGAUUACGAGUUGGGUAAUUAUGAUUGUUUGAUUUUGUUGAUGUUAUGAUUAUGUGCUAGAUGAUUUGAUUUUGGUGAUAUGUGGAACAAAUUUGAGCAAUUUUUCUGGUGAUUGAUAAAAGGGAGUUGGGGUGGGAAUUAAAAACUUGAUGAAAAGGAUAGAUUCAGAUUAAUUUCAAUUUAUUAUUGAUGUGAACGUGGUAGAAUUAUAAUAUGUUAAAACGAAUAUGCAAAUGUAUAUUGGGUAGGCAAAGGUAGGAAUUGUGUAUGGUUGAAUGGUUUGAAAUGUUUGGGGAAUAGUUUAUUUUUCUUGCAUUUUGAAAAAUGUAUUCAUUCAUCGGGGAAUGCCCUUAGGUCAUAUUGUACUUAUUCACCGAGGAAUACCCCGACGUAUUAUGUACUCAAAGAAUGUUCUUGACGAACACCCUGGGCAUCGGGUAAGGUACUGGAGCAUAGUUUAGGAUUAGUGUAGGUUAGCGUAGGUUAGCUUUUCAGUACCUUUUUCAUUUAGGAUUAUAAUAGUUAGACUGGACACUAUAUUUUUGGACUGGUUUUGUUUUGUUUUGUUUGUUUGAUUUUAUUUUUAUGUGGUUUAUACAUUUUUGUAGUGUCAAAUUAGCCGAUAUGUUCCACCAAGUGACCGUGGUCGAACCACAGAAUCGAGGGGUGCCUAACACCUUUCCUUCGAUCGACAGAAUUCCUUAAUCGAAAUCACUCUUUGCGGAUCAAUUUAAAAGAGUCAAAAUCAUUUUGAAAAAGGAUUUCCUACGGUGACUUGGCAUGCUUGAUUAAUGCCAAGUGGCGACUCUAAGUUUUGAUUAUAAAUAAUCCUUUUCAAUAUAAAUCUUCAUUUUUGUCACUUUAAUAAUAAAACCUUUUGAAAACUUAAAAAUUUAUCUUUUCUGGUUGAAAAGAGGGUGUGACAAUAACAAGUGAAAAGGGCAACAAACAUGAUGUGACAUGAUUUAAUUUAUUUUCAAGUCAGGGUAUGAUGAUACCCGAUGAUUCCAUGCCCUUAACAAGAUAGUGUUGAAUGUUUGAAAAGUAUGAAUGUGUUUACAUUAAAGAGCUAAAAGUUGGGCUUAAGAGAGCUAGUAGAUUACUCAAAGAAGGCGUUUGAACGCAAGGGAUCAUCGCCAAAAAUCAUAGUUACCGAUACGAGAAUUAUGAUAUAUGAUCCUAUUUCAUGCGGUUUGCUCACAUGGGGGGUAUCACUACUCCAAUCCAGGCGGCUACUUGGAUUGGAGGCUUGGCCGUCGAGUCAAGUGUGGGUUCCACAUAGCCCAUGGAAUUUUAGAUUUGUAGGGUGUACUGACUAGCUUAGAGGAAUAACAAAGAGUGAGUCAUGGUUUCCAAGAAGUGUUUUGGAGAUCACUAAAGUAUGCAUAUGUAUUUUUAUAUUCAUAUUAUGGUCAUUAUUUUUAUGAAAUGCUCUCAUCUAUUUUGUAUUAAAAGCAUUCUAUUUUGAGUUGUGUCACAUACCAGUACGUUGAUAUUGACCCCACAUAUUUCAGGGUUUGAGGCUCAGUCCAGGGGUCCCGCCAAAUCGUAGAAUCUUUAGACUGAAGUGUGCAGUUGGUGAGCCUUCUUUAUUUCGAAAGGCCAGUUGCUAAAGUAUUGUUUUGUAUUUUAGUUUUGGGUCCGACUGGGGGCCUUGUCCCAGUUAUAUACAAGGUAUUAUAUUCUGAUGUAUAAGAGAUUUUGUAGAUUGAGAUGGAUAUUGUCUAGAUGUUUAUUGAUUUCAUUCUGUAUUGUAAAAUUGAACUUAGAGUAUGACCAUGAUUCCGUCUGUUUAUUUCUGCAUUUCACUUUGUU